CAGAGGUCUCAACCGUUGUUCGGAUUCAUUGGGCGUAAAGGGUGCGUAGGCGGUCGCGCAAGUCGGAUGUGAAAUCUCAGGGCUCAACCCUGAAACUGCAUUCGAUACUGCGUGGCUAGAGUGCUGGAGAGGAGACUGGAAUUUACGGUGUAGCAGUGAAAUGCGUAGAUAUCGUAAGGAAGACCAGUGGCGAAGGCGAGUCUCUGGACAGCAACUGACGCUGAGGCACGAAGGCCAGGGGAGCAAACGGGAUUAGAUACCCCGGUAGUCCUGGCAGUAAACGGUGCACAUUUGGUGUAGGCGGAUUCGACCCCGCCUGUGCCGGAGCUAACGCGUUAAACGUGCCGCCUGGGAAGUACGGUCGCAAGAUUA
rnacentral:rRNA from 1 species